CUCGAUCUAGAAACCGCGAAACCUAAAACACCAGCCUCGCUCUCUCCUUUUCACUUAGCUGUCUCAGCUCUCUCCGAUCUCGGUUCUCUUUCAGCCAAUUUCGAUUCAGUUAUUUUCAAUUUGGGGAUGGGGUGCCUUUCAUCAUCGUUUAGUGUUCCGGUUACAUAAAACCCAGACCUCUCUCUCUCUCUUUCAGCCUCCUUGAUAGACGACGACGGCGAAACAGUCUCAUCUCGACCUAGAACCCGUGAAACCUAAAACACCAGCCUCUCUCUCUGUCCUUUUCACUUAGCUCUCUCUGAUCUCGGUUCUCUCUCAGCCAAUUUCGAUUCGGUUCUUUUCAAUUUGGGGAAGGGGUGCCUUUCAUCCUCGUUCAGUGUUCCGAUUACUUAAAACCCAGAUCUCUCUCUCUCUCUCUCAGCCUCCUUGAUAGACGACGGCGGCGAAACGGCGGCAUUCAAUGACUUUGCUUGGUGUCUCCUUCAAUCCGAAGUCAAUCACUCAGUGAGUCAUCGUCUUCUCUCUCUCAAUCUCUCAUGGACGGUCACCGGUACUAGCCCUAGCUCUCCCUCUGUUCUCGAAGCUCGACUGCACCAUUGAAGCUUUGUUUUGAGAAAGAUCUAUACCUUCAAAUUCUUCACCCCGAAGCAAUCAAGAGCCAACACAAGAGUUCCCUACAAGAAAGAUUAGUUUGCUAUAUCGACCAUUGGGGCUUGGUUGGUGUGAUUGUAGCAAGGAUUAAAGCUUUGUUUAGACGAGGCAAAACAAUUAAAGUCACUCCCAUUAUAGCCCAACAAUUUGAAGCAGGAGGUGAAUGAGAGCUUUCCAUUUGGGCGAUUGCUACCGAGACCCCAGAAUUUCGAAGAUCUGUGUUCGAGGAUAGAGCAAAGUCGCUUAAGUUACCAAACCAUGUUGGAAUUGAGUGUAGGAACACUCAGAUUACACGAGU